CCCUUAGAUGUCCUGGGCUGCACGCGUGCUGCACUGAGUGGAUCAGCGGGUCAGGUUGCGCGAAAGCGUUUCCUAAUCUUUAAAUCCGCUCGUGAUGGGGAUUGACGGUUGCAAUUUUCUGUCAUGAACGAGGAAUACCUUGUAAGCGCGGGUCAUCAUCCCGCGCUGAAUACGUCCCUGCCCUUUGUACACACCGCCCGUCGCUCCUACCGAUUGAGUGGUCCGGUGAGGCUUUGGGAUCUGAGCGGAAAGAGCGUUUCGCUGUUUCUGCUCGGAAAACUCAGUCGAACCUUAUCAUUUAGAGGAAGGAGAAGUCGUAACA
rnacentral:rRNA from 1 species